rnacentral:snRNA from 1 species
ACCACCGAGCGGCGGGUAGA